CCUACGGGUGGCAGCAGUGGGGGAUAUUGCACAAUGGGGGAAACCCUGAUGCAGCGACGCCGCGUGUGGGAAGACGGUCCUCUGGAUUGUAAACCACUGUCCCCAGGGACGAAGAUGACGGUACCUGGGGAGGAAGCUCCGGCUAACUACGUGCCAGCAGCCGCGGUAAUACGUAGGGAGCGAGCGUUGUCCGGAAUUACUGGGUGUAAAGGGAGCGUAGGCGGGACUGCAAGUUGGGUGUCAAAUCUACCGGCUCAACCGGUAGCCGCACUCAAAACUGCAGUUCUUGAGUGAAGUAGAGGCAGGCGGAAUGCCUAGUGUAGCGGUGAGAUGCGGAGAUAUUAGGAGGAACACCAGUGGCGAAGGCGACUUUCUGGACAGUAACUGACGUUGAGGCACGAAAGUGUGGGGAGCAAACAGGAUUAGAUACCCUUGUAGUC
rnacentral:rRNA from 1 species